rnacentral:rRNA from 1 species
UACGUAGGGAGCAAGCGUUGUCCGGAAUCAUUGGGCGUAAAGGGUGCGUAGGCGGCGCGGUAAGUCGGGUGUGAAAUCUCGGAGCUUAACUCCGAAACUGCAUUCGAUACUGCCGUGCUUGAGGACUGGAGAGGAGACUGGAAUUUACGGUGUAGCGGUGAAAUGCGUAGAUAUCGUAAGGAAGACCAGUGGCGAAGGCGGGUCUCUGGACAGUUCCUGACGCUGAGGCACGAAGGUCAGGGGAGCAAACGGG